CAUGCAUGUACAAUAUUUUUUAUAUGGCAAAAAACAACAACUUCGUAAUUUUCCAAUAAAUGUGUGGAGGUCGAAAUGUGCAGGUGCUAUUUUUUAAAUCUGGUCAUUGAAUUGAAUUUAUAACUAUCAAAUUCAAUGAUGGUCACUGAAAAUGUUCAUAAAUGCCGUUGGCAACACACAGACAAACCAAGUUGGUAUUCCUGCGUCAUGAUCAUGCGUGCAACGUUUGUUGUUAUGUCCGACGUGAAGUGUUUGAUUUUUCUUGUUAGCUAAUUGCAAUAAUUAUCAGUCCACUAAAUUAGUAGGAGGGUUGUCCUAGCAGCAAAGAGGGAAGCAGUAGUCCGAAAUCCAAAUGCGUGUUCCCGCCAUCGCCAAAUGAAAAGAAAACCCAACUAAUAUUUGGCUCUUUGUGUAGAUUAGUUGUGCUUCAACCUUUAAACGAAGGGGCGAAGACAGGGCGAUCUUUAAGUUUUCGUUGUUCAUUUUAAAUACAAAUUUUUUGGGGCCCCUGCAUUGUAGUUGUAUUGGAUUGGUCUGAGAAUUUGUUGUUCUAAGCCCCAACCACAACACAUUGUCAGUCUGCUCUCCUGUAUAAAUAAGGACUUACACUUUUAACCCUAAAUCGGAUACAUUCAUCAACUAACAACGGGCAACAAACGGUCCGUUUUCCUCAACCAGUAAUUGGAGGAAACUGUGUCUAUAUUCUACAAGACGAGCAGAUGGGUGAUGUGGUUUUUAAUGAGAUUGAAAUUUUUAGGUGACUUUAUGCUUACACUUUACAUAGGUAUCCAUUUAAAAGUACGCAGUAAAUAAUUGAUAGGCAUUUGCUCGUAACAAGAAAAAUAUUACUUAGUAAUUUAAGUUUCUAUUAAGUGAAGAUGCCCAAAAAACGCAAGGUAAAAUGUAAUGUUUCAAAACGACAUGCUAGACGAAUUGUUAGAGUUAAAACAAUCAAUGAAUUAGAUAACAUUUUAAGCGUUGAUUUCUGAAGGUUAUACUAAAUCUGAUACAGAGGAAUAUAACAGUGACUGCCAAAGUCAAGACAGAAUGACUGUGUCCAGUUUUGAAGAUGCAACUAAUAGUGUGAACGUCGAGGUGAACGAUAAGAGUAGUUCUAGUUCAAUAUUCGGUGUCGAUGAGGGAGUUCCUGCCCACAGCACAAUGCUGGGUCAUAUACCUGAGCCCUGUGACACAAUACAUGGCGAAAGUAAUGAUUUUAAGAGUGUUCUGGCAAAUUGGGCAAUUGUACAUAAUGUUCCUCACAAAACUUGCACUGGGUUAUUAAAUAUUUUAAGGUCAUAUACAAUGUUUGAUUUACCAAAAGAUGCGAGAACUUUGUUACGAACACCUAGAAAAACUUCAGUAAUUUCUAUAGAAGGUGGGAGUUACUAUCAUUUUGGUUUGUGUCACGUUUUGGAAAAGAUGAUCAUGGAUAACUGCAGUGAUGUUCAAAAUAUCGAUCUGCUGCUAAAUAUUGAUGGUCUUCCAUUAACAAAGUCCUCACAAUCUUCUUUAUGGCCAAUACUCUGCUCAAACACAAUUAAUAAGAAAGUGCAUAUGGUGGCUGCGUAUUUUGGACAUAAAAAACCUGAAAACAGUUCUGAAUUUUUGCAGGUUGUAACAAAUGAAUUGACUGAUUUGUGUAGUAAUGGUUACGAUGCAAAUGGAAAAAACAUUUGUGUUAAUUUGCAUGCUUUAAUAUGUGAUGCUCCGGCGAAGGCUUUUGUUUUGUCUGUGAAGUCUCAUACGGGAUUUUACAGUUGUACUAAGUGUACUAUUGAGGGUCACUAUAAAAGUGGAAGAGUGUGUUUUCCUACUGAUAUGAAUGCUCGUUUAAGGACAGAUGAAGAGUUUAAAGAUAAUGCUUAUGAGGAUUUUCAACUUGGAAACUGCCUCUUAAACGCUGUGCCCCGUUUUGGACCAGUUACAAAUGUGCCACUUGAUUAUAUGCAUCUUGUGUGUUUGGGUGUUGUCAAGAAAUUGAUUUCUCUGUGGUUGCAAGGCCCACUUUCAGUUAGAAUAUCAGCACGUCAUGUUAAUCUAAUUUCAAAUUUUUUGAUUUCUUUGAAAAAUACUGCACCUAUUGAGGUGGUUAGAAAACCACGUCCUUUGAAAGAGUUUAAACAGUGGAAAGCUACCGAAUUUAGAAAUUUUCUUUUAUACACAGGUGUGGUAGUGUUAAAAAAUUUUGUCAAAAAACACAUUUAUCAUCAUUUUAUUUCAUUGAGUCUGGCUAUUAGGAUACUUGCAAGUCCAGUUUUGUGUCAGGAUAUCAAUUAUGUAAGUUAUGCAGAAGCUUUACUUAACCAUUUUGUUACUUCUUUUGCCAUUAUUUAUGGUGAACAAUAUGUUUCGCAUAACGUGCACAGUUUACUACAUCUGUGCUCCGAUGUUAGAAAAUUUGGACCACUUGACGCAUUCAGCGCAUUUCGUUUUGAAAAUCACAUGUCGUCCAUAAAGAAACUUCUUCGGAAAAGUGACAAGCCAUUACAACAAUUAGCUAGAAGAUAUUCCGAAAUUGGGAAUAUUGAACUCCAUUCCAAUAAUGAUUUUAAAAUUCGCUUAGCUUUUGAACAUUUCCAUGGUCCAUUAGAUGAGAAACGCAAUGUCCACUCCCAAUAUCAGGUCAUGUUUUCUGAGUCAUUCAGCAUAAGAUGUAACAGAAUGUGUGACAGUUGCUAUCUUUUAACUAGUGGGGUUGUUAUCAUUAUUGAAAACAUAGUAAAGGGAAAUGAUAAUGAGUUAUAUGUUAUUGGAAAAGCCCUAAAUGAGAUUGGAAGUUUUUUUAAUAUACCAUGUAGUUCUUUACAGUAUCAAAUUAAGGUAGUGGGUAACUUAAAUAUUGGGUCACAUUCGCGCUGGCAUAUCAGUGACAUUAAAUGUAAAUUGUGGGCCAUUCCCUAUAGGGACACUUACAUUGCAUUUCCAUUAAUUCAUACAAACCAAUAAUUUCUUUACAUUGGCUUUGGAGUCAUAUUACUGUAAUUUAAUUUAAAGGACACAAUUUUUUAACUAUCUUGUAUUUAACUUGCAAAAUGCUUACCUAUUAUUACUGCAGAUAUUUUAAAUAACACCUACAUGUGUAUGCCAGUAACAACUAACAACACUGGAAAAUGAAGAAAUAUUCGGUAGUGGAAUUUGGUGAUGGACUGGCUUUAGUGGCAACAAUGUGGCUUGAUAGGAACAAUAACACUUGCAUUUACCCAACUCACUUGCCUCAGAACCGGAUAAAUAAAGCUGUUGAAGAACAGUUACUGCCAUCAGGAGAGGAAACCUGGCAGGAAUACCCUGUAAUUCGAAUAUUUGGGACAUCAGAGAGUUACGAAAGAGGAAUUAGAAAACUACGUUUAGCAGAGACUACGUCAAAUAUUGAAGAUACUGAUGAUACAACCAAUAUUGAAGCAAAUAACAGGGCAAAAAAAAGACGGCGUGAAAUGGCAAAAAGGAAAUACUCUUCAGAUGAUCACACUGAAACCGAUGAAACAGAGUCCUUGGAACAUUUACCAUCGUUUCCUGAUCCACCAUCAUUGCGCAGAGACCUUCAUAUGAAAAAACUUCAGGAAAAACCAAGUUCUUCUAGUUCCACACCUCGUUCCACACCUACUCUCAUACAUAGAAAUUCGCCCAUCUCGCAAUCGUUUCUAAACGAAACACCACAGAUGAGGGCGACUCUUAAAAAAUCCACUUCCACUGCUAGCCCAAGUACAAUGACCACAUCAGAAAUUGCUUCAGAAAAUGAAUUCAGACGACUUGUUCUUUCAAAAUUGAACAACAUAAUUCAGAAAAUCGGGCAAAUUGAAGAAAGGCUCACUUCAAUAGAACAGUGGAAAAUUCAUGCAACAGAAGAUGGUUCAGUUAGUGAAGAAGAGGACACCGAACUCCCACUGCAGAAUCUAACGGAUUUAAACCAUUUUGAGCAAAAAUUAAAAGAUCUUUUGUUUUUCAAAAAAAUGAUAAAUAUGCUGAAACGGUGUGGUGGCGGUUCCGAUGUAAAUUCUAUAACAACAAGAAUUUUAAGGCAAAUUUUGUCUAACUCACUCGCCCAACAGUUUAGCUGGGCUGGUUUCAAAGGAAAGUCAAGCUUCAAAGAUCUUAGAAUGGCCAAACUUUUGAUAA